UACAGAGGGGGCAAGCGUUGUUCGGAAUUACUGGGCGUAAAGGGCGCGUAGGCGGCCUGCUAAGUCGAACGUGAAAUCCCCGGGCUCAACCCGGGAACUGCGUCCGAUACUGGCAGGCCUGAAUCCGGGAGAGGGAUGUGGAAUUCCAGGUGUAGCGGUGAAAUGCGUAGAUAUCUGGAGGAACACCGGUGGCGAAGGCGACAUCCUGGACCGGUAUUGACGCUGAGGCGCGAAAGCCAGGGGAGCAAACGGG
rnacentral:rRNA from 1 species